GGUUAAGUGACUAAGCGUACACGGUGGAUGCCUGGGCAGUCAGAGGCGAUGAAGGACGUACUAACUUGCGAUAAGCGCAGAUAAGGCAGUAAGAGCCGUUUGAGUCUGCGAUUUCCGAAUGGGGAAACCCAACUGCAUAAGCAGUUACUGUUAACUGAAUACAUAGGUUAACAGAGCAAACCGGGGGAACUGAAACAUCUAAGUACCCCGAGGAGAAGAAAUCAACCGAGAUUCCGGUAGUAGCGGCGAGCGAACCUGGAUUAGCCCUUAAGCACUCGGUGAAGUAGGUGAACAAGCUGGAAAGCUUGGCGAUACAGGGUGAUAGCCCCGUAACCGACGCUUCAUCGAGCGUGAAAUCGAGUAGGGCGGGACACGUGAUAUCCUGUCUGAAUAUGGGGGGACCAUCCUCCAAGGCUAAAUACUCCUGACUGACCGAUAGUGAACCAGUACCGUGAGGGAAAGGCGAAAAGAACCCCUGUGAGGGGAGUGAAAUAGAACCUGAAACCGUGUACGUACAAGCAGUAGGAGCACCUUCGUGGUGUGACUGCGUACCUUUUGUAUAAUGGGUCAGCGACUU
rnacentral:rRNA from 1 species